rnacentral:lncRNA from 1 species
GCUGAGUCUGAUGGAUUAGCAAUAAGAUGGACACUUAAGCAUGGAGUACGUAACUACAUUUAUGGAUACAGCUUGCUUCAAGGGGAUUUUUCAAGAAGUGGGUGCCCCUGUGGACGUGAGCAUCCAUGCAACACAGAUGUGACCGACCAAGGCCCAGAUUCUCCUAGAGAGCCACAGAGCUCUUGUUCGAGGACCCCAUGAGAACCAGCAUGGACAAAGGAGGAGAUGUACGCGGAG